rnacentral:tRNA from 1 species
UAGCCUAAUGGUUAAGGCUAUGGAUCGCCAAUCCGGAGACGGCGGGCUCGAUUCCCGU